ensembl:processed_transcript
GCAUUGUGGGAAGGGGAUCGCAGCUCAGAAAGCGUUUGAUGGACACCGGGACAUAUUUCUUCCUGUUUUUUCCCUGUUGUUUGUCCGUAUUUUUCUAAACUGCCGUGCGCGGGAAGUGACGUGACGUCCCAAUCACCCACUCACUCCUUCUGCACCUGCGUGAGUCUGACUGGAUUAACGGUAAACGUCAGCUUUUCAGUGAGAGUGUAAAAGGUUCUUUCAUUUUGGUUAUAAGUACAUGUUAUAGGUAAAUUCUUAGAUUCAAUCCAAACUGAAUUUGAAUUAACACAGACAAAUGAAAUAAAAUACACCUGGGAUUUUAAAUGUUUUAAUUUUUUUUAUUAUUCACAACGUUUGUGAAGUCUAAAUGUAGACUGUCUCAAAUUGAAUGAGUGUUAUUUUUGUUGUAGGUGUGUUGGUGUAAAAAUUGAUGCUGACUGGUUAGUACUGCAUUUUUACCCAUAACAAUAAUGAUUUAUAUUUAGCAUAGCAUCUAUUGUCAUUUUACCAAGAAUGUGUUUGCUCUUUCAGAACUAAGGCAGUUGUGCUGGACCUUCUGUACUUUAUACAGGAGAUGACAGUAAACUUUCAAGUUUAAGAGGUAAAAUGUUCAGGGUUUUUCUGUUUGAUUUUGAGUGUUUUGUAGAUAUAAGGUUCACUGAUAUAUGAUAUAAGAUUUGCUUUAUGUUUAUGUUGUCAUUUUGGUUAUAAGUACAAGGUACAGUUACAUUUACAUAGCAAUCUAAAUUAAAAUCUUAAAUCUUACAUUCAAUCCAAACUGAAUUUGAAUUAACAUGGACAAAUUAAAUAAAAUACACCUGGGAUUUUAAAUGUUUUCAUUUUUUUGUUAUUUACAAAGUUUAAAGUUUAAAAGUAGACUACGUGCUGCAUCUUUCAAA